rnacentral:sRNA from 1 species
GCUGCAACACAAGCGGAUGAAAUUUUUUUGUUUUAGUGUUGCGAAAAAGUUUGCAGCAAUUGCCAAAAAUCGGGGAAAAAUGUGAAAAUUAUACGUUAAAGUGCAAUGUUAGAGCAAAGACAACGAGGAACGACGACGGAGCAACAACGAAGAAUGCAGAAGCAGCGGAAGCAGCAGCACUACGUAGCGAACGCAACACAACAAUAAUUAAAAGUGCAACAAUUACAACAACCAAAACAACAACAACAACCAACAUGUGAAUUGCGUUUUUUUUUUACCAAAACCAAAACAAAACCACGAAGAACAAGUGUAGCCAGAGCCUGAGAGAGAGGGAGAGUGAAAGAAGGAGAAAGCGAAAAGCGAAGAGCGCCAUAAGAAAGAGACAAAGAAAGAAAAAGCCGCCAAAAUAUUAUAGCAACAGCAACAAAAACAUAAACAACAACAACUAGCAACAAACCAACAGCAAAUAACAACAACAAAUGUAAUAUAAAUAACGGUUCAAGCAAAACCAAAAAACAAUUUCGCGCGCGCUCUUUUUCCUUCUACCCUUUGUUUCUCUCAAAGACGGACGAGGACGAACACUGACAACACACACAAACAAAAAAUACAAAAAAAAAAACAACAAAACCGCUGCUUCUACGAAUUAUAUUUUGUUCGUCAAACAUCUUUUUUGAAAACUUCAAUCGUCAUUUAAUCAUCGUCAUAAUAACCACUCCAAUAAAACUCCACUCCCCCCGCAAUAUUCCGGAAACAGCAAACAAACAAAACAACAACAAUUUGAAAAGUGGCUAGAACAAAAACA